AAGGUCACGGCGAGACGAGCCGUUUAUCAUUACGAUAGGUGUCAAGUGGAAGUGCAGUGAUGUAUGCAGCUGAGGCAUCCUAACAGACCGACUAUAGACUUGA
rnacentral:rRNA from 1 species